UACGUAGGGGGCAAGCGUUGUCCGGAUUUAUUGGGCGUAUAGAGCGUGUAGGCGGCCAGGUAGGUCUGGUGUGAAAACUCGAGGCUCAACCUCGAGAGGUCAUCGGAAACCAUCUGGCUAGAGUCCGGAAGAGGAGAGUGGAAUUCCCGGUGUAGCGGUGAAAUGCGCAGAUAUCGGGAAGAACACCUAUGGCGAAGGCGGCUCUCUGGGACGGGACUGACGCUGAGACGCGAAAGCGUGGGGAGCGAACAGG
rnacentral:rRNA from 1 species